rnacentral:rRNA from 1 species
AUUGAACGCUGGCGGCAUGCUUUACACAUGCAAGUCGAACGGUAACAGGGAGCUUGCUCCGCUGACGAGUGGCGAACGGGUGAGUAAUGCGUCGGAACGUGCCGAGUAGUGGGGGAUAACGCAUCGAAAGGUGUGCUAAUACCGCAUACGUACUGAGGUAUAAAGUGGGGGACCUUCGGGCCUCACGCUAUUCGAGCGGCCGACGUCUGAUUAGCUAGUUGGUGAGGUAAAGGCUCACCAAGGCGACGAUCAGUAGCGGGUCUGAGAGGAUGAUCCGCCACACUGGGACUGAGACACGGCCCAGACUCCUACGGGAGGCAGCAGUGGGGAAUUUUGGACAAUGGGCGCAAGCCUGAUCCAGCCAUGCCGCGUGUCUGAAGAAGGCCUUCGGGUUGUAAAGGACUUUUGUCCGGGAGCAAAUGUCUGGUGUUAAUAGCACUGGGAGCUGAGAGUACCGGAAGAAUAAGCACCGGCUAACUACGUGCCAGCAGCCGCGGUAAGAC